CCGGCAGCUGCAUCGGAGUAGGUCCUGUGUGAGGCUUUUUAGGAGUGGGACUAGCCGAGCUAGACUACUGGCUACAACAGUCAGACAGCUCUUGCUCAAACGGCUCUGAGGAGGAAGGAAAGGAUGAUGAAAUGUGUUAUAAAUAAAAAAAUGCGAAUUAGCCAAUUUUAAUAAAAAUAUGAAAAAUAAAAUUUAUUCCGUGACCAAAAAAACAGUCUCGACAGCCACCACCAAAACGGACAGCGUACCACCCCCGGGAAGUGAUACGGGUGAAUGUGAAGAAUGGACCAACUGGUACCAGGACUUCCCCGUCCACACUUACUGCUUGCAAGUGCCCAAAGACAGCCAAGAGCUGUUUGCUUUUGAGUGGGAAAAUCCUGAGACAGGAAGAAAAAGUCAACUUAUUUGGAGAGUUUUCCACCAAGGUUUCAAGAACAGUCCCAAAAUAUUUGGGAAUCAGCUAGCAAAGGAAUUAGAGGACUGGAAAAGACAGGAACCAGAAGGAGUUGUUCUUCAGUACAUGGAUGGCAUCCUGAUUGCAGCCAGAACCAGAGAUGACUGUGUAUGACUUACUGUAAGUUUAUUAAACUUCUUGGGACUGGGUGGGUACAGAGUUUCUAAAAACAAAGCAUAGGUUGCUAAAUAAGCAGUAGUUUACUUGGGGCUUGAGAUCUUCCAUGGACACUGACAGCUCAGCAAAGAACGGAAAGAAGCCCUCUGCUGACUCCCAGAGCCCCAUACCGUGAGAGAGAUGCAAGCUUUCCUGGGAACGGGUGGUGAUGACAAAACAAUCCUAUUGUAGCUGGAGACUCAAGGACAAUCUCUUCAAACUUCAGGCCCAAUGCAUAAACAACGUGAAAAGAGGAGGGCGGGCAAGCAAGCAAGGAGGAUGAAACUUCAUGAUUUGAAGCUAUUAAUUGGACAGUUAACUCCUUUAUGCAAAUGGACUAAAACUUAUAAA